UGCAUUAUUAUUGUUGUUGUUGUUAUUAUUACAGGUGCCAGUACAUAGGAGGCAGCAGCAUAUAUCUAGUGUACUACACUACCCAUAAUGCAUUAUUAUUAUUACAGGUGCCAGUACAUAUGAGGAGGCAGCAGCCUAUAUCCAGUGUCAGUUUGAGGAUCUCAACAGGAGGAAGGGCACUAAAGAGAUCUACACCCACUUCACAUGCGCCACCGACACCAAGAACGUCCAGUUCGUGUUUGACGCCGUCAUCAUCAAGAUCAACCUAAUGGAGUGUAAACUCUGCUGAGGUGACAGGGAUCUUCAAGUGUCUGGUGAGCCUCAUGGGAGGGGAUGAUGACUUGGGAUGUUUGCAUUAGAUGAUCGUAGAAGAUUAUAGAAAGUAGAACCGGAGACUGAGACUGUUCGUUACCACACUGCAUGCAGCACCUGAUGAAUGCUGCAUUUUGGGAUUUGGUUCCUGUUUUUUUUUUCUCUGAGGAUUUUCCUCCAUGUUCAACACUCUGAUGCACACCGAGGAGCAGGACAGAACUGAACUGUGGGAUAAAAUCUUCACUAGUGAAACACUCCCUGUGACGUCUAUGGGAACUGCCAAGUCCGACUACAGAGCACUUCUGUUUUUAGUUCCAGAUCAUGUAUAUGGAGUGACGUGAUGUUUUUAUGACAUUUAGUUGGUGAUUAACCAACAAAUCCCACAGAUAAUCCUUGGCUAGUUCCCAAAUGGCAACCUAAUUCCUUAUGUAGUGCACUAUUUUUAACCAUCCCUUCUCUUCAUUCCAGUGCUCACAUCUAUAGAUUGACACACUACUGGUAUAUAUGAAACAAAAAGGACCCAAUCAUCAAGCUGAAUAUCUCUCAUCGUAAUAUUUCACGAUUCGUUAUGUUUAUUUUUUUCACCAAUCUGUUUGCAUUCGUUCACUGAGUCAUAUGCCUCAUUUCAUUUCCCAUUUUUAAAAAAAACAUGUAUUUCAUAGCUUGUUAUUUGUAUUAAGUAGUUGAAAUAGUUUAUUUUUCAUUUUGGUAUUUCUUUAGAUUAUCAGAUAGAAAUAAAUGCAAUCUAUGAGUAUGGUUAAUGGUCUGAAGUUGGCGUAUGGAUCAGGAAUUCAUGUGAUAGAUUUGACCUGCACCUACUCUUAACUCUUCACAGUUUUGAGAUUUUAAUCAGCCAUAUUUUCAUGAAUUAAAUAGUCUUGUGUAGACUUUAACAUGAGGUUUCACUUAGGCUACAAUCCUUAUUUCUGAUUCUUAAAAAAUAAAAUUAAAAAUGUAGAAAAUGGA